AGAUGAUUUAAUACUAACUUAUACGGCUUAUCCGACACUCUCUUUCCGUAGAAUCUUGUCUGUUCUCCUUUUCUUUUUUCUUCUCUUUUUGCUAAAUCCAGAUCUGUAAAUCAAAACCAGAGUUUUUUCAUCUGCUAAAAAUUUAAAAGCUAUAAUUUUUAAAAUAAAUCAAUACCCUCAGAAAAAAACCCAAUCUUCAUUAACUCAAAUUUCGCUUUAAACCCUCCUUCAUAAACACUAGCAAACUAUUCUCUCUGAAAUGAGUUCACCAGUAAAUUCGUUAUUGAUUUUGUCAGAAGUAUCUUUUGUAAAAUAUCGACCUCAACCAAAACUCUCUGAUCUGAAAUUUAUUUAUGUGAAUUUUAUUUUACAUCAGGAAAAAGAUGAAGGAGGUAGUGGAAAUAUUGUUUAUGCAUACGAGGAAUUGUUUAUCAUUUUUGAUCCUCCAGCAGUUGUGACAUUUCCAUAUGGUGCGAAUAUAGGAGAUACCGUGAAAUACAAAGAAGUCAUGAAACAGUAUAAUCUUGGUCCUAAUGGAGGGGUUUUGGCAUCACUUAAACUUGUUUGUAACUAACUUCGAUGAGGUUGUAUCAGUCAUUAAUAAAUAUGUUGAUCAGCUCGAAUAAGUACUCGUGGAUACUUCUGGCCAGAUUGAAAUACUCACCUGGUGGACACUAUACUAGAGUUUGCUCUUGCUCAGAAGGAUUGCUUUCGCGGUCUUGCUCAGUGUUGGUGGAUUCUUGUUGAGGUGAUAACCUGUAUUGCUUUCUUUGUACAUGCCUUAGAUCACCAUGUUUUGCCUUCAGUUAACUUCAACUGGCUGUAGAGAUAUUAUAUAAAGUCUUCUCACAUUCAAGGGAACAACUGCAGCUGAAAUGAUUGGAUAGUUCAGACCACACGAAUGUUACCCAGUCAAGUUUGAAUUCAUACUUGCUUAGUUACCUAAUUUCUUAUACUGGAGACUAAUACGGUUACUAAAGACAUUCUUAUUACGGGUGAUAUUUGUUGAAUCUUGUCGGAAUUUAUCUUGAUAGUGCAACUUGUGUAGUGGAUUAAGAAUGCAAGUCUUCGAAUUAUGAUUGAUCAAUUUGUUGUUCUAGUCAUAUAUCGAUAAUGUUUGUUUCGUUUAGAACAUUUUUGGAUAGAUCUUCUGAUAUUUCUGUAUACUUCACAUGAUGUAAAGUUUAUAAUUGCUGUGAAGUAAA